rnacentral:lncRNA from 1 species
GCUUGUGCCGCUUCCGCAAGAAGGUUUCCUGGCCUGUUGCAGCCAUGGUGCAUUGCAGUUGCGUGUUGUUCAGAAAGAUGGAAAUUUCAUCGAUAAGCUAAGACUCUUCACCAGGGGAGGAUCCGGUGGAAUGGGUUAUCCUCGUUUAGGUGGAGAAGGUGGAAAAGGUGGUGAUGUCUGGGUUGUAGCCCAGAACAGAAUGACUUUAAAACAACUUAAAGACAGGUAUCCUCGGAAACGGUUUGUGGCUGGAGUAGGAGCAAACAGCAAAUUAGUGCACUGAAAGGCUCCAAAGGAAAAGACUGUGAAAUCCCUGUGCCUGUGGGUAUUUCAGUAACUGAUGAAAAUGGUAAAAUUAUAGAGAACUCAAUAAAGAAAAUGACAGAAUUUUGGUAGCUCAAGGAGGUCUUGGUGGUAAAUUACUUACAAAUUUCUUACCAUUGAAAGGCCAGAAACGAAUAAUUCACCUUGAUCUAAAACUUAUAGCUGAUGUAGGCCUAGUAGGUUCCCAAAUGCUGGAAAAUCCUCUUUGCUAAGUUGUGUUUCUCAUGCAAAACCUGCAAUUGCAGAUUACGCAUUACAACAUUAAAGCCUGAACUUGGAAAGAUAAUGUACAGUGAUUUCAAACAGUAUCAGUAGCUGAUCUUCCGGGUUUAAUAGAAGGAGCACAUAUGAACAAAGGAAUGGGCCACAAAUUCCUCAAGCAUAUAGAAAGAACUAGACAACUACUUUUUGUUUUGAUAUUUCUGGAUUUCAGCUUUCUUCUCACACUCAAUACAGGACAGCUUUUGAAACCAUAAUACUGCUUACAAAAAGUUGGAAUUGUACAAAGAGGAACUUCAGACAAAACCUGCACUCUUGGCAGUUAAUAAAAUGGACUUGCCAGAUGCCCAAGAUAAGUUCCAUGAAUUGAUGAGCCAGCUCCAGAAUCCUAAAGUUUUCUGCAUUUAUUUGAAAAAAACAUGAUUCCAGAGAGGACUGUAGAGUUCCAACAUAUCAUCCCCAUAUCUGCAGUUACUGGAGAAGGAAUCGAAGAAUUAAAGAAUUGUAUAAGAAAGUCACUGGAUGAACAGGCCAACCAGGAAAAUGAUGCACUUCAUAAGAAACAGUUGCUUAAUUUGUGGAUUU